GUGCAGUCUCGCGAUCCUGUCUCCGCUUGCAGUUUGGCUGGAGACUCGACGAGGCUGCAUAGACUAAAAUGAAGGAACAAAAGGCGUGACUUCUCUAGACUUUGAAGUUUUACGUGCGAUAUUCUUUCAACAAAUCUCGUCCUGUUUCCACAGCGGUAAUGGUUUGUUUUAUACCGUUACCAGUUUCAAAACAGGCAGAGUAAUACAGCGUUGGCAGUCAGAUAUUGUCUGACAGGAGAUCUGCGCGCCUUUCAGACACUUAGAAUUGCCACAGUG